rnacentral:misc_RNA from 1 species
CACGAACAAAAACAAAAAUGGAUGUUUUGCCGCAUGUCCGAUGAAAUUUGUAAAUUCUUUUGUCGCCUUGAUUUCUUGCCCUUGAACUUGACGAAGCGGUACAUUUGAAGGCCAUGACAGCCAAUCCUGACAGCGUUGCGGUUCAGAUGGCUGCCAAGCUAGCCAUGGGAACGCAGGCCGGCCUAGGUCGCUCGAGUCUCUUCAGCAUGGUCCCGCGACCUCACAACACGGGCUCCAAGAGCUGUGUGUCCCUCGCCGUGGCCCCGGUGCACGAGGAUGACGACGAGUUUGCACCAAAACACAAGGAGGAGUACGAGAACAGUUACCGAAUGGAGCCGCCCAAACGGUUUGUUCCCGAGCGGGUCAAGCAGAUACUGUGCGAGACGUUGGAGAAGGAACUGGCUAACAUGACCUACGAGCCCAUCUCAUGCAGCACACAGUGCAAGAGCAUUGCACAGGAGGUCAAGCUGAGAGUCAAGGCGCUAGACUACCAACGAUUCAAGCUUGUCUGUAUCGUCAACAUUGGCGAGAAGCGAGACCAGGACGUCAGGCUGGGCAGCCGCUGUCUGUGGGACGCUGACAGGGACAACUUUGCCUGCGCUUCCUACGAGAAUCAACACAUCUAUGCCACGGCCACGGUCUACGCAAUCUACUACGAAUAGACUUCUCGAUGAGGCUGUGCAACAAGGUUCAGCAGAAGUGCAGUAUUCAGAAUGGGACCAAAUUGUAACAGUUUGUGGUAUGUAGUGGAAAUGU